UACGUAGGGUGCGAGCGUUGUCCGGAAUUACUGGGCGUAAAGAGCUCGUAGGUGGUUUGUCGCGUUGUCCGUGAAAACUCACAGCUUAACUGUGGGCGUGCGGGCGAUACGGGCAGACUGGAGUACUGCAGGGGAGACUGGAAUUCCUGGUGUAGCGGUGGAAUGCGCAGAUAUCAGGAGGAACACCGGUGGCGAAGGCGGGUCUCUGGGCCAUAACUGACGCUGAGGAGCGAAAGCGUGGGGAGCGAACAGG
rnacentral:rRNA from 1 species